AACGAACGCUGGCGGCAUGCCUAACACAUGCAAGUCGAACGAGACCUUCGGGUCUAGUGGCGCACGGGUGCGUAACGCGUGGGAAUUUGCCUCGGGGUACGGAAUAACUCAGGGAAACUUGAGCUAAUACCGUAUGAUGUCUUCGGACCAAAGAUUUAUCGCCCUGAGAUAAGCCCGCGUAGGAUUAGCUAGUUGGUGAGGUAAGAGCUCACCAAGGCGACGAUCCUUAGCUGGUCUGAGAGGAUGGUCAGCCACACUGGGACUGAGACACGGCCCAGACUCCUACGGGAGGCAGCAGUGGGGAAUAUUGGACAAUGGGCGAAAGCCUGAUCCAGCAAUGCCGCGUGAGUGAUGAAGGCCUC
rnacentral:rRNA from 1 species